rnacentral:rRNA from 1 species
CUACGGGAGGCUCCAGUGAGGAAUAUUGCACAAUGGGGGGAACCCUGAUGCAGCAACGCCGCGUGGAGGAUGACGCAUUUCGGUGUGUAAACUCCUUUUAUAUGUCAAGAAAAUGACGGUAGCAUAUGAAUAAGCACCGGCUAACUCCGUGCCAGCAGCCGCGGUAAUACGGAGGGUGCAAGCGUUACUCGGAAUCACUGGGCGUAAAGGACGCGUAGGCGGGUUGGAAAGUCAGGUGUGAAAUCCUACAGCUUAACUGUAGAGCUGCACUUGAAACUUCUAAUCUAGAGUAUGGGAGGGGGAGAUGGAAUUAGUGGUGUAGGGGUAAAAUCAGUAGAUAUCACUAGGAAUACCUAAAGCGAAGGCGAUCUCCUGGAACAUUACUGACGCUAAGGCGUGAAAGCGUGGGGAGCAAACAGGAUUAGAUACCCUCGUAGUC